rnacentral:tRNA from 1 species
GCCCCGGUCGUAUAGUCUGGUCUAGUAUACCGGCCUGUCGAGCCGACGACCCGGGUUCAAAUCCCGGCCGGGGCG